rnacentral:lncRNA from 1 species
CUGGCUCUUCUUAUAUAGGUAUGGAACAAAGGCCGAUCUUGAAUAUGGGAGUCGAUAUAGAAUCGAAGGGAGCAAAUCCGAUUGUCUCAACAUAACCCAUUCUAAAUAGACAAGGUGUCCAAGAAAAUUUUCAAGAGUGUCACGGUGAUGUAGCAUAUAUAGCAUUCAACUUUGUAGUGGCGGUAUGGACACCAUCGAGGUCCUUGCAGUACCCAAAGCUAACGCAUUCCAUGACAUUGGCCUAUAUAAAUAUAUACACAACAAUGCUUGAAAUGAUGCAGGUGGGGAUCUCUUAUAUUUUGAAAUGUUGAGAU